GAUGAACGCUGGCGGCGUGCCUAAUACAUGCAAGUCGAGCGAACAGAUGAGGAGCUUGCUCCUCUGACGUUAGCGGCGGACGGGUGAGUAACACGUGGAUAACCUACCUAUAAGACUGGGAUAACUUCGGGAAACCGGAGCUAAUACCGGAUAAUAUAUUGAACCGCAUGGUUCAAUAGUGAAAGACGGUUUUACUGUCACUUAUAGAUGGAUCCGCGCCGCAUUAGCUAGUUGGUAAGGUAACGGCUUACCAAGGCAACGAUGCGUAGCCGACCUGAGAGGGUGAUCGGCCACACUGGAACUGAGACACGGUCCAGACUCCUACGGGAGGCAGCAGUAGGGAAUCUUCCGCAAAGGGCGAAAGCCUGACGGAGCAACGCCGCGUGAGUGAUGAAGGUCUUCGGAUCGUAAAACUCUGUUAUUAGGGAAGAACAAAUGUGUAAGUAACUAUGCACGUCUUGACGGUACCUAAUCAGAAAGCCACGGCUAACUACGUG
rnacentral:rRNA from 1 species